rnacentral:rRNA from 1 species
AACGAACGCUGGCGGCAGGCCUAACACAUGCAAGUCGAACGCCGUAGCAAUACGGAGUGGCAGACGGGUGAGUAACACGUGGGAACGUACCCUUCGGUUCGGGAUAACUCAGGGAAACUUGAGCUAAUACCGGAUACGUCCGAGAGGAGAAAGAUUUAUCGCCGAGGGAUCGGCCCGCGUCUGAUUAGCUUGUUGGUGAGGUAACGGCUCACCAAGGCGACGAUCAGUAGCUGGUCUGAGAGGAUGAUCAGCCACAUUGGGACUGAGACACGGCCCAAACUCCUACGGGAGGCAGCAGUGGGGAAUAUUGGACAAUGGGCGCAAGCCUGAUCCAGCCAUGCCGCGUGAGUGAUGAAGGCCCUAGGGUUGUAAAGCUCUUUUACCCGGGAAGAUAAUGACUGUACCGGGAGAAUAAGCCCCGGCUAACUUCGUGCCAGCCGCCGCGGUAA